rnacentral:lncRNA from 1 species
GGAGUUUUCAAUUUCAAAUUGAUUUCAAAUCAAUUUUAAAAUUGAGUGGUAAUUUUGUAGUUAGAAUAAAAUUGAAGGUUUAUUUAUAAGCUAUACAUAUAUUUUUUUUCUUUUUCUUUAACUUCUUAUUUUUCUAUUUUAUUUCUUUUUUAAAAUUGUGAAAUUCGACUAAUUAUAAAAUAUUUGAUAUGCAUAUCAAAUUAAAGAUCGUGACAAGAGCU